rnacentral:rRNA from 1 species
UACGGAGGGUACAAGCGUUAUCCGGAUUCACUGGGUUUAAAGGGUGCGUAGGUGGGUAAGUAAGUCAGUGGUGAAAUCUCCGGGCUUAACCCGGAAACUGCCAUUGAUACUAUUUGUCUUGAAUACUGUGGAGGUCAGCGGAAUAUGUCAUGUAGCGGUGAAAUGCUUAGAUAUGACAUAGAACACCAAUUGCGAAGGCAGCUGGCUACACAAAUAUUGACACUGAGGCACGAAAGCGUGGGGAUCAAACAGG